UACGUAGGGAGCAAGCGUUGUCCGGAAUCAUUGGGCGUAAAGCGCGCGUAGGCGGCCCUGUAAGUCCGUUGUGAAAGUCAAAGGCUCAACCUUUGAAAGCCGAUGGAUACUGCAGGGCUAGAGUCCGGAAGAGGCGAGUGGAAUUCCUGGUGUAGCGGUGGAAUGCGCAGAUAUCAGGAGGAACACCAAUAGCGAAGGCAGCUCGCUGGGACGGUACUGACGCUAAGGCGCGAGAGCGUGGGGAGCGAACAGG
rnacentral:rRNA from 1 species